UACGUAGGGGGCAAGCGUUGUCCGGAAUCAUUGGGCGUAAAGCGCGUGUAGGCGGCUCGGUAAGUCCGCUCUGAAAGUCCGGGGCUCAACCCCGGGAGGCGGGUGGAUACUGUCGAGCUAGAGUCCGGAAGAGGCGAGUGGAAUUCCUGGUGUAGCGGUGAAAUGCGCAGAUAUCAGGAGGAACACCAAUGGCGAAGGCAGCUCGCUGGGACGGUACUGACGCUGAGACGCGAAAGCAUGGGGAGCGAACAGG
rnacentral:rRNA from 1 species